GUCUGGUGUACCGACAGUUGAAAAGGCCAAUUUCCUUCUGUUUAUCUGCCAAUGAUGAAGCUUUUCGCGGGGGGUUUUCCACUUAUUUCCAUCAUUGGUAUCUGGGAAGCUGCUAUCUAUAUCCAUAGGAUCCUUUAUAUUCUCAUCAUCCAUAGCUUCAUUUUCUUUUAAUGUGGAUAACGUUCUACAAUCAAGAGGCUUACAGAGACCAAAAUCAGAGAGCUUCAUGUGACCAUUUUUGUCCAAAAGAAGGUUGUCAGGUUUGAUAUCUCUGUGAAUGUAAUGAUGCUUGUGAAUAGACUCUAUAGCUAGGACACUCUGACCAAUAUAAAAUUUAGCUACACUUUCAGACAAUGUAUCUUCUCUCAUCAGCAGAGUCAUCAUGUCACCGCCAGGAAGAUACUCCAUGACAAGGUAGAGAUAUUCAGCAUCUUGGAAUGAGUAGUAUAAUUUUACAAUACAAUGGCUGGCCACUUCUGCCAAUAAAUUUCUUUCAGCUCUCACAUGCUCCACCUGUCCUCUGAUGAGCAUUUCAGAUUUCUUUAACUUCUUCAUGGCAUAAAUGUUACCCGAUUUCUUCUCCCUGCAUAAUCUUACCUCACCGUAGGCUCCUCUGCCAAUAAUUGUUAGAAGUUCAAAAUCAUCCACACAUAUUUUGUGCCUCUUCAGUCUCAUAAACUCCGUCUCCUUUUGCUCUAGAUCUUUGAUCAGAUGCAUUUGCUCUUCUUUAGGCACAUCAGAAGAUGCUAACUUUCUUUCUAGAAUCCAACGCCUUUCUUUGCGUUCCUGAAUACUCUUCAUCUGGGUCUUGUAGUGAUUCUCAAUAAAUUGCUUAGCAGCAGCAACUUUCUCCAUUGUCAAGCUUGAACCAAGCACUUCCUCUUCGCACUGUCCUUCCUCCAUGUUUUCCCCUCUUUUGAGCAAAACCAAAACAACCCUCUUCUUCUUCUCUCUACUCUUUCUCUCUCUAUAUGUAUGUAUGUAUGUAUAGGUUGAAAAAA
rnacentral:misc_RNA from 1 species